GACGAACGCUGGCGGCGUGCCUAAUACAUGCAAGUAGCACGCAGUUGCGAACGGGUGAGUAACGCGUAGGUAACUACCUAUUAGAGGGGGAUAACUAUUGUAAACGAUAGCUAAUACCGCAUACUAGUAGAUGGACCUGCGUUGUAUUAGCUAGUGGGUAGGGUAAUGGCCUACCUAGGCAACGGUACCUAGACGACCUGAGAGGGGUAUCGGGCAAAAUGGGACUGAGACACGGCCCAGACGUCUACGGGAGGCAGCAGUAGGGAAUCUUUGGAAAUGGGGGGAACCCUUAACGAGCAACGCCGCGUGAGUGAAGAAGGUUUUCGGAUCGUAAAGCUAUGUUGUUAAGGAAGCGGUACUUAACCAGAAAGGGACGGCUAACUACGUGCCAGCCGCCGCGGUAAUUC
rnacentral:rRNA from 1 species